UGGCUCAGUAGUUAAGAGCACUGGCUGCUCUUCCAGAGGUCCUGAGUUCAAUUCUCAG
rnacentral:tRNA from 1 species